AGUUAUGUAGUCUAAUUAGGAUUUUAAAUUGCAAAUUUAAAGGUAAAUAUAAAUUUUGUAACUU
rnacentral:tRNA from 1 species